GGUGGUAGCAGAGAGGUCAGGCAAGGGAGUCAGGCAGGGCGAGAGUCGUCAGGAGAGUCUCGUCCAUGGUGGACAGGCAGGGGUCUCGUCGAUGGUGGACAGGCAGGAGAGUCUCGUCCCUGGUGGUCAGGCAGGGAGAGUCAGGCAGGGGAGGUCAGGCAGGGGAGUCAGGCGAGGUAGAGUCUCGUCCAUGGUGGACAGGCAGGGCGAGUCAGGCAGGGAGAGUCUCGUCAUGGUGGACAGGCAGGGGAGAGUCUCGUCCAUGGUGGACAGGCAGGGAGAGUCUCGUCCAUGGGGACAGGCAGGGGAGUCUCGUCCAUGGUGGCACGCAGGUCGUCCAUGGUGGACAGGCAGGGGGUCUCGUCCCUGGUGGUCAGGCAGGCAGAGUCAGGCGGGAGAGUCAGGCAGGGAGCGUCCUGAGGGAGAUCAGGCAGGGAGAGUCAGUCAGGGAGAGUCUCGUCCAUGGUGGACAGCGGAGGGGAGAGUCCGUCCAGGUGGUCAGGCAGGAGGUCUCGUCCAUGGUGGUCAGGCAGGGAGAGUCUCUCCAUGGUGCGUCAGCAGGGAGAGUCGUCGUCACAUGGUGGAACAGGCCAGGGAGCGUCUCGUCCAUGUGGACAGGCGGGAGAGUCUCGUCCAUGGUGGACGCAGGGAGGUCUCGUCCAUGUGGGACAGGCAGGGAGAGUCUCGUCCAUGGUGGAAGGCAGGGGUCUCGUCCAGGUGGACAGGCAGGGAGAGUUCGUCCAUGUUGGCCAGGCAGGAGAGUCUCGUCCAUGGUGGUCAGGCAGGGAGAGUCUCGUCCAUGGUGGUCAGGCAGGGAGAGUCUCGUCCAUGGUGGACAGGCAGGGGAGUCUCGUACAUGGUGGACAGGCAGGGAGAGUCUCUAAUGGUGGACAGGCAGGGAGAGUCUCGUACAUGGUGGACAGCAAACCCUCAACCUUCUGGCUGUUGGCCCUGCGUGGCAUCAGCGUGUUCACAAAGAAUGCUCGAAGUUGUAAGACGAUAUGCCCAUGAUUAUAAACACGGCUUGCUACAGUUUAUUUAUGGUUGUAACAUCAUUGUUGUUACAUUUUAG
rnacentral:lncRNA from 1 species